CCACAGCACAUGUGACUUUAGCAGGAGGACAUCCGUCUUUAAACGACUCGCUGUUUCCAUUCCUCCGUCCUAGCAACAGAGCCCGGUGUCGAAUUGCCGCAGCCGGAGUUAGAACAGCUGCCCUGGGGAUCUUGCCGGACAGCGAGCUGACUGCCGUUCACAGCAAUCUCUGGUCUUUCCCACCCCAAACAUACACAAAGGAUUCUUGUCGUUCUUGGCACCGGGCACCGAAGGAGCCAGGCAUGCCAGCAGAGCCGACAGCGGAAUGUCCUUCCACCUGUUCUGUGCUGUAAGACAGACUUCCAAGGGUGAGGCGGCUCGGCGGGCCGUGGCCUUGAGUGGCAGCUGAAGGCACCGGCAGGGUGCCUGGCAGCGAUGCCCGCGCGGAGGCCAGGCUUUUGGGAGGGCUGAAUGGGGAAGAAACUCGAGCACUGCUUCCUGGAACACUGCGAGCCUGAGUGAGGCGUUGAGAGGUACCAGACUCUCUCUUCUGACAGCAGCCAAGGAAAUACUAACGCUGUUGUCGCUUUGUUAUGCUCUUGCUGGGGAACACUCCCCCGUCCUAAAGGGCCAGCUCCACGCCAAGAUCGAACAAGGCAUGGCUCGGAGAUUCAUUUAAGGGGACGAGGGACUCACCCUAAGUCUCGAGACAGUUUCUUAGGCAGGGGGAGCCUGAAGCAGGAGUGACUGCCACCCAUGGCAUCAAGGAGGCGAGCAAACAGCCAGAGCCCCGGGAAGGUCGCAGCUUCGCUAACUGCAUGCCUUUGGAGCCCACUGGGGUGCCAGUUUCACGGAGUCCUAGCAGUGAGGAAUGUAAGGACAGGGGUCUGGGGCCCGGGGUGGAGAGGGCGACAGAUCCUCCAGUUCUUUUCAGUUUUUCACGAAGCUAAAAAGUAAUUGUUUACUCAGAAUACAGCCCGGAGGGUGACUCUGGUUAGAAAAAAUAAAUCUCAGGUCCUUCAUUCUCUCCUGGGAAGCUAAGUCCAUUAUUAUUUUAACAAAGAUGUUUGUUUAUGAAUGAAUCUUUCAAAGCCGUGAUUCUGUGGGAGAAAUCAUUUUAAAUGGAGUUUGCAAUGGCGCUGAGAUUAGAACUGCCCUAAAGACAAGGAUUUAAGCAUGUCAUUUUCAAGCUGUUUUCAUUUCAAACUUUCUUCUUUUUCUUAGAGAGACUUUUUGCAAUAGGGUACAUGUGCUCCCCCAAGAGACAGAGAGAGACACUGAGACAGAAAACGAAAAAUAACCCCCACGGGGAGGAAGAUCGCCCUGCACCCCGUCUCCUCCGGUCUCCUCUCCGGAUUCUGGACGCGUGCACCUGGUGUGAGUUUCACGCUGCCGGGCCGGGGACUCGAACUGUGGUCAACUAUGUGGGAGUCCAACAACAUAGCCAUUACAUCAUCUGCUGACCCACUUUAAGAACACCUUUACGGAGAGUGGCUAGAAGCUCACUUCCCAGUAGGAGGCACCUCCAAUGCAAGGGCAGUACCCGGUUUAGAAGAGUGGAGAUGCAGCCUCACUGCUGCAGGCCCACCGAGCCUCCCGCCCCGGGGCCUGUCCCUACAGGCCCCAGACCCUGCUGCGUUGCCAGGACUGCAAGGAUACGGCUGAAAUCCAGAGAGAGAUUUCUCUCUCACUGGAGCCAAGGCGGCUUCUCGGGUUUGGGGAUUCUUGAGAGACUCCUGAAGUAGAGGCAGAACGCGCACGUGGUUCUCCCUGGAUCCGCAGGACGCGCACGUGGCUCUCCCUGGAUCUGAGACAUGUUAGCAAUGGUGUUCAUUACGAGCCCGCCUCUUUCCCAGGAGCAGGAGAGUCCAUGCUUUGAGCUACACCAACGUGCAUUCACUCACCCCCUGGCAGUGCCUGAGCCCUUCCCAGCCCGGCCGUGCUAAGUGCUGGGCUUGCAAAGACCAGUCAGACGUCAGAUCUGGUGACAACGGCCACAGGCGGCCCCUCAGGGUGGACGGCAGCGCCUGCCCAUCACCACAGCGCCCUUCUUUGGCUCUACCCACGGCACAAGCAUGUCUGGCAGGAGGCCCUCAGGGGCUAGGAAGGGAGGCCCCAUCUCUCCCGGAGCAGGGAGGAGUCCGCGUGUCCAGAAGGAGCUGUCUGCUGGCUGGUCCUAGGGCCAGGGACUCAGCAGCUCCACUCACACCCAGGACCCCCAUUCUUCGGGACUUUCCAUCUCAGUGUCCUCAGCAUGUCAUCAGCCUUGUCCCCACACUCCCGCUAUGGCUGCUGGACACUGCUGGCAGGACAUGUCCCCUGCAGGUGCAGUGAGUGGCUGGAAACUCACAGCAGUCACACACACGUGCACGCCACAAUCCCAGGGGAGAAGAGAGGAGAGGUACU